AAUAAAAGAGUAAUAUGUAAAUUAACUAUCACUCUGCAACAAAGAUGGCAAUGCCCAUAGUUGCCAGGGCGGGACACUGGUGGCAUUGCCCUGGCAAUGCAAGCCCCGCAUCUGCACCCUGG